rnacentral:rRNA from 1 species
GGGCGUAAAGCGCACGCAGGCGGUUUGUUAAGUCAGAUGUGAAAUCCCCGGGCUCAACCUGGGAACUGCAUCUGAUACUGGCAAGCUUGAGUCUCGUAGAGGGGGGUAGAAUUCCAGGUGUAGCGGUGAAAUGCGUAGAGAUCUGGAGGAAUACCGGUGGCGAAGGCGGCCCCCUGGACGAAGACUGACGCUCAGGUGCGAAAGCGUGGGGAGCAAACAGGAUUAGAUACCCUGGUAGUCCACGCCGUAAACGAUGUCGACUUGGAGGUUGUGCCCUUGAGGCGUGGCUUCCGGAGCUAACGCGUUAAGUCGACCGCCUGGGGAGUACGGCCGCAAGGUUAAAACUCAAAUGAAUUGACGGGGGCCCGCACAAGCGGUGGAGCAUGUGGUUUAAUUCGAUGCAACGCGAAGAACC